ACGAGUUUUGAAAGGGGUUGUAGCUGGCUUCAAACGAGGCAUGUGCACACCCUGCUCAUCCACUCUCAACCUCUGUGCACUUGUUGUAGGUCGGCGGAAAGGCUCGGUGGUAACACUGAGUCUGGAAACCUUCCUAUGUUUUAUUACAAACGCUUCAGUUAAAGAAUGUUACUCUGCGUAUAACGCAUCUAUAUA
rnacentral:misc_RNA from 1 species